rnacentral:rRNA from 1 species
ACUGCUCAGUAACACGUGGAUAACCUGCCCUUGGGUCUGGGAUAACCCCGGGAAACUGGGGAUAAUACCGGAUAACGCAUAUGUGCUGGAAUGCUUUAUGCGUAAAACGGAUUCGUCCGCCCAAGGAUGGGUCUGCGGCCUAUCAGGUAGUAGUGGGUGUAAUGUACCUACUAGCCAACAACGGGUACGGGUUGUGAGAGCAAGAGCCCGGAGAUGGAUUCUGAGACAUGAAUCCAGGCCCUACGGGGCGCAGCAGGCGCGAAAACUUUACAAUGCGGGAAACCGUGAUAAGGGAACUCCGAGUGUCCGUCAAUGCGGACUGUCCGUAUGUUUAAAAAGCAUGCGAAGAAAGGGCCGGGCAAGACCGGUGCCAGCCGCCGCGGUAACACCGGCGGCCCGAGUGGUGACCGUUAUUAUUGGGUCUAAAGGGUCCGUAGCCGGUUUGGUCAGUCCUCCGGGAAAUCUGAUAGCUUAACUGUUAGGCUUUCGGGGGAUACUGCCAGGCUUGGAACCGGGAGAGGUAAGAGGUACUACAGGGGUAGGAGUGAAAUCUUGUAAUCCCUGUGAGACCACCUGUGGCGAAGGCGUCUUACCAGAACGGGUUCGACGGUGAGGGACGAAAGCUGGGGGCACGAACCGGAUUAGAUACCCGGGUAGUCCCAGCCGUAAACUAUGCUCGCUAGGUGUCAGGCAUGGCGCGACCGUGUCUGGUGCCGCAGGGAAGCCGUGAAGCGAGCCACCUGGGAAGUACGGCCGCAAGGCUGAAACUUAAAGGAAUUGGCGGGGGAGCAC